CAACUGUUAAGGGAACGUGACGACAGCGAGGAAGAAAUUCAGAAAAUAAUUAGUAAAAACUCUGAAUUGAAGUCUCAACUUGCAGAAUUACACAUCCAAUAUAUGGAUGUGCUGGAUCAGCGGGAUAGGUUACAGGAUUUUAUAAACGCAGAUGGCAGCUCUGAAGUGGAAUAAAAGUGCUUUAUUUUAUUUUGUAUUUUUCGGUGUUUUAAAUUAAUAAUUGAUGAAAUUGAAAUUGAAUUGUAUAAUUGUAAAAUAAAUUAAUAAUAAUUAAAUUGUAAUAGACAGCUGUGUUGCUGGGAAGUUUGUUCUUCACCGCUUCUUCUUUCCAGCCAUAACACUAGGAAGUGGUGAAAGGGGGGCGUUUUGGGGGUGCUGUCAUUCAUGUAAAAUUUUGACGUUAAAAAGUGCUAAUCGUAUUAGCCUAUUUUAAUAAAUGAUUUUGACUUUGA